rnacentral:rRNA from 1 species
CUACGUGCCAGCAGCCGCGGUAAUACGUAGGUCCCGAGCGUUGUCCGGAUUUAUUGGGCGUAAAGCGAGCGCAGGCGGUUAGAUAAGUCUGAAGUUAAAGGCUGUGGCUUAACCAUAGUACGCUUUGGAAACUGUUUAACUUGAGUGCAAGAGGGGAGAGUGGAAUUCCAUGUGUAGCGGUGAAAUGCGUAGAUAUAUGGAGGAACACCAGUGGCGAAGGCGACUCUCUGGUCUGUAACUGACGCUGAGGCUCGAAAGCGUGGGUAGCAAACAGGAUUAGAUACCCUGGUAGUCCACGCCCUAAACGAUGUCAAUUAGCUGUUGGGCAACUUGAUUGCUUAGUAGCGUAGCUAACGCGUGAAAUUGACCGCCUGGGGAGUACGGUCGCAAGAUUAAAACUCAAAGGAAUUGACGGGGACCCGCACAAGCGGUGGAUGAUGUGGAUUAAUUCGAUGCAACGCGAAGAACCUUACCUGGUCUUGACAU